GACUCACUCAACCUGGGUGUGAUGUGUUUGCUGUACCAUCACAACCUCCUUGAGUGAGCGA
rnacentral:pre_miRNA from 15 species